rnacentral:rRNA from 1 species
AUACGGAGGGUGCAAGCGUUACUCGGAAUCACUGGGCGUAAAGCGCGCGCAGGCGGCUUGAUAAGUUGGAUGUGAAAGCCUACGGCUCAACCGUAGAACUGCAUCCAAAACUGUCAGGCUAGAGUGUGGGAGAGGAAGAUGGAAUUAGUUGUGUAGGGGUAAAAUCCGUAGAGAUAACUAGGAAUACCAAAAGCGAAGGCGAUCUUCUGGAACAGUACUGACGCUGAGGCGCGAAAGCGUGGGGAGCAAACAGGAUUAGAAACCCCAGUAGUCC